GCAAGUCGAACGGUAACAGGCAAAGCUUGCUUUGCGCUGACGAGUGGCGGACGGGUGAGUAACGCGUGGGAAUCUGCCUUAUAGUGGGGGAUAGCCCGGAGAAAUCCGGAUUAAUACCGCAUACGCCCUACGGGGGAAAGCUGGGGAUCUUUUGACCUGGCGCUAUUAGAUGAGCCCGCGUUAGAUUAGCUAGUUGGUGGGGUAAAGGCCUACCAAGGCGACGAUCUAUAGCUGGUCUGAGAGGACGAUC
rnacentral:rRNA from 1 species